GCACCUGGCGCGUGCUACACAUGCAAGUCGAGCGAUGAUUACCGAUAGCUUGCUAUUUUUAUGAAGAGCGGCGAACGGGUGAGUAACGCGUGGGAAAUCUGCCGAGUAGCGGGGGACAACGUUUGGAAACGAACGCUAAUACCGCAUAACAAUGAGAAUCGCAUGAUUCUUAUUUAAAAGAAGCAAUUGCUUCACUACUUGAUGAUCCCGCGUUGUAUUAGCUAGUUGGUAGUGUAAAGGACUACCAAGGCGAUGAUACAUAGCCGACCUGAGAGGGUGAUCGGCCACACUGGGACUGAGACACGGCCCAGACUCCUACGGGAGGCAGCAGUAGGGAAUCUUCGGCAAUGGGGGCAACCCUGACCGAGCAACGCCGCGUGAGUGAAGAAGGUUUUCGGAUCGUAAAACUCUGUUGUUAGAGAAGAACGUUAAGUAGAGUGGAAAAUUACUUAAGUGACGGUAUCUAACCAGAAAGGGACGGCUAACUACGUGCCAGCAGCCGCGGUAAUACGUAGGUCCCAAGCGUUGUCCGGAUUUAUUGGGCGUAAAGCGAGCGCAGGUGGUUUCUUAGUCUGAUGUAAAGGCAGUGGCUCACCAUUGUGUGCAUUGGAAACUGGGA
rnacentral:rRNA from 1 species